AAAAAAGACAACGAUAUUUAGCAUUUUUAUCACCGCACUUUUAAACAUAAUCCGACAGUAUCUCUGAUGACGCUGUCGUAGAGAUAAAAUGGCAAUUAACGCUGCCCAAUUUUAACAGUAAAAUGAUUGGAAAUCACAGAGAUAAUUGUUUGAUUUAAUCAUUUUGAUCGUUAUAAAGAUUGAAAUUUGUGAUCGUUCUGCGUUCUUCGGUUUGAAAAAUAAUUAAUUUCUGCGCAACUGUAGGACACUGCAAUGACAUGCGCUUUUGAUUAAAAUUAUAAAUACCACUAGCAUAAAUCGCAACGCGAUUAGAAAAGAACGUAAACAUCGUCGAUAACAACCGACGGAGAAUAACAGUUGCUGAUGGCAAAGAGCGGAAACAAUGAACCGGUAUGAUAACAUAUUAGAUAUUACAAUUGUUGUUGCAAUGUAUGAAGACUAGAUCGAACGGAAACUGAGUUUUCAAUCCAAUGUAACAUAUAGUAGCGAACAUAGGUAGUAAUAGUCGUUAUAAACGGCCAAUAAAGUCUCUGACUUGGACGUAUAUUAUAUUACUUUACACAUAUUCAAAAAAUCGGCGUUAAAAUAUAAAUUAAACAGAAAAACUUUUUUACCGAUAGAAACAUGUUUGAGAACUUGAAAUUUUAGGUUUGGACAUCACCGGUUGGUAAGGUGAACUCACAGCGCCAUCUUUAAUGUAAAUUCUUAAAUGUAUACACAUCUGUAUCGAUCGUAUACAUACUUUUUGUAAUAAUUUUCAUGAAUUUACUGAAAUAAAAAUUCUGUACUAAAUAUUAUAGAUUUCCAUUUUAUAAAUACAUACAAGUCCCGAAUACGUUGCUUUAAGAUUGCCUCGACGAAAAAAAAAGUUUAACAAAUUGGUCCUGUAGUCGUAAACAACGCGUAUACAAUAUAUUUACGUUGUACAAGAUUCUGUAAGGCGCCGCCGCUGUAUCAGCAUUAUGUGUGGCCUUAAUUAAUCAAAUUGCUAAUGGCGCUGAGCCAAAUGGUACCUAUUUGGCCUGCAAUCAAAAGGAUAUUCAACAACUGUCAGGCGUACGCGGCACUUGUCAUACGUUCAAUGUUUUUACUGCUUAACGUAGAAAAUAAAAAUCGCAAAAAAAUUGUUCUCGAUCUAAAACUUAUUUCGCAUAAUCCCAAUAGUCCAUUCGGAGUCAUAUCGUGCCUAUUUAGGUAUUUCCAUUGAUUAAACUUAUAUUUCCGUGAAAAUACUUUCUCUUCAAAUUAAUUCAUCCAGAUGUUUUAGUCCACGCUGUUGAGCGCUGAACAAAACUGCUAUGUAUUACGAGUAUCAAAUGGUACGGCAAGUCGAUUUUUAUAACUUUCGUCGUUUUUUUUGCGAUAGAAUUUUCGAAAAGUCCCGCAACGUAACAUGACGGCCCUCUGUUGGCUGUGCAUCCUUGCGUAGCGGAGCACUCCAGC